rnacentral:lncRNA from 1 species
GGAGAUUGAACCAAUAAGAGUCCAACUUGGGGGAGGAGGCAUAGCCAGCUCCUCAGAGUUUGCUGUAAUUGUCUAUAUGACCUACAAUUGGCUGAUUAGGCGGCUGUCAAUCCUUGCAGAAAAAAUGUGAUGUGUAUCAUGAGAUACAGCUCAGGAGCACGGUCCUACCUCAGGGUGCACGACGGUAGAUGCCAGUUGCCUUGGCCCUCAGAGGGUACCUUGCCAGCCAGUCCACCCCUUAAUAACUUGUUUCAGAUCACCUAUCAGGAAGAGCUAGACCAAAAAGCUACGGCAAGUUUAGGUGCAUUUUAUUUUCUAUAUUUGCUCUAGUACAAGCAAAGCAGGGAAUUCAGAAAUAAAAAAGAAACAAGAGAAAUCUAAUGCAAGCAUUGUAUGAUAGAAUUGUUUUACUUUGCAGAAACAGUGAUAACACCAGAACCCAAUAUCACGAGACUGACAGACAAAGAGGUCAUGUUGCGGUGGACUGUACACUACAAUGGUCCACAUAGCAUUGACAUCUUCAAAGUCCAGUACAUGGAGAAGUCUUCCAGGAAAAUUCAAGGACGAGAAUGGUCUACGAGUAACGAUAUUGAUAAUUAUACUCGCGCUUUUGAAGUUUCUAAUCUGGAGCCCGACCGGCGAUACAAGUUCCGGAUAUCAACUGUGUUCUUCAACUAUGAGUCUGUAACCGGUCCCUCGACUGGUUGGUACAAAUUGACCAAAGACGACCCUUCAGGCAAACCGCCACCCAGUAUGCCAAUUAUAGUACAUACUGAAACUGAAAGCCCAACUUCUGUGAAAGUCAAGUGGAACUACAACGACUCCAUCCAAAAUCCAAUCGAGGUUCUACCUGUAUUAUUGUCGCUCAGAUGUGGGCAAUUGUCCGUAUAA